rnacentral:tRNA from 1 species
GCCUGGGUAGCUCAGUCGGUUAAGCGACCGACUCUUGAUUUGGGCUCAGGUCUUGUUCUCAUGGUUCGUGGGUUCGAGUCCCACAUCGGGCU